rnacentral:rRNA from 1 species
GAUGAACGCUAGCGGCAGGCUUAAUACAUGCAAGUCGAGGGGCAGCAUGACUGUAGCAAUACAGUUGAUGGCGACCGGCAAACGGGUGCGGAACACGUACGCAACCUACCCAAAACUGAGGAAUAGCCCGGGGAAACCCGGAUUAAUACCUCGUAACAUAAUUGAGUGGCAUCAUUUAAUUAUUAUAGCUCCGGCGGUUUUGGAUGGGCGUGCGCCUGAUUAGAUAGUUGGCGGGGUAACGGCCCACCAAGUCUGCGAUCAGUAACUGGUGUGAGAGCACGACCAGUCACACGGGCACUGAGACACGGGCCCGACUCCUACGGGAGGCAGCAGUAAGGAAUAUUGGUCAAUGGACGCAAGUCUGAACCAGCCAUGCCGCGUGAAGGAUGAAGGUCCCUCUGGAUUGUAAACUUCUUUUAUAUGGGACGAAACCUCUUUUUCUAAAGAGACUGACGGUACCAUAAGAAUAAGCACCGGCUAACUCCGUG